UCCGGCUUAACGCCGGCAGUCUCCCUAGAGUGCCCAACUGAAUGGUGGCAACUAAGGACGAGGGUUGCGCUCAUUGCGGGACUUAACCCAACACCUCACGGCACGAGCUGACGACAGCCAUGCAGCACCUGUGUUACGGUUCUCUUUCGAGCACCCUCACAUCUCUGUGAGGUUCCGUACAUGUCAAGGGUAGGUAAGGUUUUUCGCGUUGCAUCGAAUUAAUCCACAUAAUCCACCGCUUGUGCGGGUCCCCGUCAAUUCCUUUGAGUUUUAAUCUUGCGACCGUACUCCCCAGGCGGUCGACUUCACGCGUUAGCUGCGUUACCGAAGGAGUUACCCUCCGACAACUAGUCGACAUCGUUUAGGGCGUGGACUAC
rnacentral:misc_RNA from 1 species